UGUAAUUCUAAUUGUUAUAUAGUUAGUGUCAAAGUUCAAAUUUUUUGUUUGCCGAUUGGUCAAAACCGUGUCACGUUCAUGUCCACAAAAGUCAAGUUGCGCCAAAUCCGUAGAAAUGUAAAUACGGAAAUUCUUGUUAAUUUAUAUAUUAUGCUUUGAUUUAUCCAUAUUUAAUUUAUGGUCUGAUAUUGUGGGGUAAUACAUAUGAAUCAAAUCUAAAUCCUAUUAUUGUUUUGCAAAAGAGAGUUGUGAGGACUAUAACCUUUGCUAAUUUUGACGAACACUCAAGUCCAUUAUUCAAAGCUCUUGGUAUUUUUUAAAUUUUCAGAUUUAAUUUCUCUUCAAAAUUUGCUGUUUAUGCACGAUUUUAAUAAUCAUACUCUUCCUCGUGCUUAAAG